UAUUGCUGGCACAGGGUAGGAAAAGGGAGGGAGCUUAGAAAGAUCUGGAGAGUUCAGAACAUUGGAUUAAAUCCAGGAAUUUGUGGUUGAAAGUGGAUAAAUGCAAGGCAUUUCUCUCAAGGGGCAGGAAAGAAGAAUAACAAGCAGAAAUAAAAUACAGGAGAGCAGGACAGAGAGCAGCAAUGCAGAAAAGAAUCCGAGAGACAGCAGUAAAGACAAAUAAAUGAAAGAAGUUCUUGAGCACUUACUACUGUUCACACUAAAGAAGAUCAUGCAAAUGCCCGAGGACAAACUGCACAUUGGCUUUGGAGAAAGAAGACAUUGGGGAGUGGAUCCCCACAAGCUCCAGGGACCCUCCAUCUCCUCAGACACUCAGGAAAAAAAAAAAAAAAAAAAAAAAAGUAAAGCUCAGUGCCAUGCUUCAAUACAGGAGAAAGCGGAGUGUUGCUGAGCCUACACUACUACUGUUUUAGAAUUUGUCUUUUGACUGCUUUGUGUCAGGCAUUCAAUAUUAACUUCUUGACAACAAAAACACAACAAAUUGGGUAAGUAACUUUUUAUAGCAUGUACAGACAUUCCUCAAAACAUAAGCAUAGGAAAAGAAACCGCUAAGGUAGAAGGACAGACUGUAAUUUCUCACACAAGUUUCAGACAUUCACAAGAAGUGACAUUAGAAUUUGCAGCACCAUAAGGGCUUUGGGAAUGCUCAAAAGCAUUGGUAGCAGAGAAAACAGAAGAGAAUAUGAAUCAUAUUAGUGUCUAUCAUUGGUUAUUUUAUUUCACAUUGUGCUUCCAGAAUUCUUCCUUGUGAGACAUCAAGAUAUUGAUUUAAAUCUCUAUCUCAAUUUGCUAAUACUCAUUAAAUUCUAAAAAAUUAAAAGGCUGGAUGCCUUAGAACCAGGAGAUGGAAAUAAAUUAAUACCUGUGGAUACA
rnacentral:lncRNA from 1 species